UAGAGUUUGAUCAUGGCUCAGAUUGAACGCUGGCGGCAUGCCUUACACAUGCAAGUCGAACGGCAGCACGGGGCAACCUGGUGGCGAGUGGCGAACGGGUGAGUAAUGCAUCGGAACGUGCCAUUGAGUGGGGGAUAACGUAGCGAAAGUUGCGCUAAUACCGCAUAUUCUGUGAGCAGGAAAGCAGGGGACCGCAAGGCCUUGCGCUCUUUGAGCGGCCGAUGUCAGAUUAGCUAGUUGGUGAGGUAACGGCUUACCAAGGCGACGAUCUGUAGCGGGUCUGAGAGGAUGAUCCGCCACACUGGAACUGAGACACGGUCCAGACUCCUACGGGAGGCAGCAGUGGGGAAUUUUGGACAAUGGGCGCAAGCCUGAUCCAGCCAUGCCGCGUGAGUGAAGAAGGCCUUCGGGUUGUAAAGCUCUUUCGGCCGGGAAGAAAUCGCAUGGGUUAAUACCCUGUGUGGAUGACGGUACCGGAAUAAGAAGCACCAGCGAACUACGUGCCAGCAGCCGCGGUAAUA
rnacentral:rRNA from 1 species